AAAAAAAAAAAACAGAAAGCCGAAAAUGGAAAAGGUUAUCUGCAAUUGAAAAUUUGAAAGUUAAUUCUAAAAGAUGAUGACACAGUUCUUAUUUCUCCCAUUCCUCCGAUCAGAUCCAAUGUCUGCCGAUUUAAGCCCCAUUUCGCUCUCUCACCAGCUUCUUCGUCUCUCCGAUUACGAUUCCUCUGAGUCUCAGAUCGCGUACGGCUUAAACAAGCCUUGGCCAUCUCUUAAAACAUGGAUCUCUCUUGAUAUCAUUUUAGGAGGAAGCUGAUUACCAGUUUACAGUCACAGCAUAUAACUGGGCUAUAGCGUAUCUUGUGAUGAAUAGCACGACCGGUGAUUCCCACUUUGAGUUGCUCAUAAUGGGAGAGUUACACAAACUAAGGCAUGACAUAAGUGAUAAGCCUGAUUGCUACAGUUUAGCAGUGUUUUUGCCAUCUCUUGCUUACCGUUCUUGGCAUUGUGAACAAACUGUUAACAUUUGUGAUCAAGUUGGUUAUAUGGGACAAACAUUCAACCUUCA